rnacentral:rRNA from 1 species
CUCCUACGGGAGGCAGCAGUGAGGAAUAUUGGACAAUGGGUGCGAGCCUGAUCCAGCCAUCCCGCGUGAAGGACGACGGCCCUAUGGGUUGUAAACUUCUUUUGUAUAGGGAUAAACCUACCCUCGUGAGGGUAGCUGAAGGUACUAUACGAAUAAGCACCGGCUAACUCCGUGCCAGCAGCCGCGGUAAUACGGAGGGUGCAAGCGUUAUCCGGAUUUAUUGGGUUUAAAGGGUCCGUAGGCGGAUCUGUAAGUCAGUGGUGAAAUCUCACAGCUUAACUGUGAAACUGCCAUUGAUACUGCAGGUCUUGAGUGUUGUUGAAGUAGCUGGAAUAAGUAGUGUAGCGGUGAAAUGCAUAGAUAUUACUUAGAACACCAAUUGCGAAAGGCAGGUUACUAAGCAACAACUGACGCUGAUGGACGAAAGCGUGGGGAGCGAACAGGAUUAGAUACCCUGGUAGUCCACGCCGUAAACGAUGCUAACUCGUUUUUGGAUUUUCGGAUUCAGAGACUAAGCGAAAGUGAUAAGUUAGCCACCUGGGGAGUACGUUCGCAAGAAUGAAACUCAAAGGAAUUGACGGGGGCCCGCACAAGCGGUGGAUUAUGUGGUUUAAUUCGAUGAUACGCGAGGAACCUUACCAAGGCUUAAAUGGGAAAUGACAGGUUUAGAAAUAGACUUUUCUUCGGACAUUUUUCAAGGUGCUGCAUGGUUGUCGUCAGCUCGUGCCGUGAGGUGUUAGGUUAAGUCCUGCAACGAGCGCAACCCCUGUCACUAGUUGCCAUCAUUAAGUUGGGGACUCUAGUGAGACUGCCUACGCAAGUAGAGAGGAAGGUGGGGAUGACGUCAAAUCAUCACGGCCCUUACGCCUUGGGCCACACACGUAAUACAAUGGCCGGUACAGAGGGCAGCUACACAGCGAUGUGAUGCAAAUCUCGAAAGCCGGUCUCAGUUCGGAUUGGAGUCUGCAACUCGACUCUAUGAAGCUGGAAUCGCUAGUAAUCGCGCAUCAGCCAUGGCGCGGUGAAUACGUUCCCGGGCCUUGUACACACCGCCCGU